CACGUAGGCACCAAGCGUUGUCCGGAUUUAUUGGGCGUAAAGAGCUCGUAGGCGGUUUGUUGCGUCGGCUGUGAAAUCCCGAGGCUCAACCUCGGGUCUGCAGUCGAUACGAGCAAACUAGAGUGUUGCAGGGGAGACUGGAAUUCCUGGUGUAGCGGUGGAAUGCGCAGAUAUCAGGAGGAACACCGAUGGCGAAGGCAGGUCACUGGGCCGCAACUGACGCUGAGGAGCGAAAGCAUGGGGAGCGAACAGG
rnacentral:rRNA from 1 species